rnacentral:lncRNA from 1 species
AUUCUCCAUCUGCAUAGUUUCAAAAUAAUAUUUUUAAAAAUAAAAAUUCUGUUUUUAUUUCCCUUCAGGUGUUGUACCAGUACCCCAGAUGCAGUAUGUAUAAAACAAAAUGACCUUUUUUCGCUCAUAUCAUCUCAACUUGCCAAUUUCUCUACCACUGUAAAGUGCCACUCUUUUUCCAGUUACGUUGAAAAUCACAGGUCCUUUACAUCGUUGAAAGCAAACAAGCAUCUAUUGCUAGGAAUUUAAUCAGAAUGGAACCUACCAACAGAGGGAGAAGCAAUUAUUUCUGCGACCAGGCAACUCUAGCUCAUCACCUCCAACAAAGAGAAACUUCAGCUCAAACCCAAAGCUUCAGCCAGAAGACAUUCAUAGAAACCUGCUGUGGCCGACUGCUUCUGCAGAUGUUCAUUCUGGACUUCAAGGCCAUACUUCUGCUGGCACUGAUUUUGAAAUUUGGCUCUGAGACUUAAAUC